rnacentral:rRNA from 1 species
GACGAACGCUGGCGGCGUGCUUAACACAUGCAAGUCGAACGGAAAGGCCCUGCUUUUGUGGGGUGCUCGAGUGGCGAACGGGUGAGUAACACGUGAGUAACCUGCCCUUGACUUUGGGAUAACUUCAGGAAACUGGGGCUAAUACCGGAUAUGAGCUCCUGCUGCAUGGUGGGGGUUGGAAAGUUUCGGCGGUUGGGGAUGGACUCGCGGCUUAUCAGCUUGUUGGUGGGGUAGUGGCUUACCAAGGCUUUGACGGGUAGCCGGCCUGAGAGGGUGACCGGCCACAUUGGGACUGAGAGACGGCCCAGACUCCUACGGGAGGCAGCAGUGGGGAAUAUUGCACAAUGGGCGGAAGCCUGAUGCAGCAACGCCGCGUGCGGGAUGACGGCCUUCGGGUUGCAAACCGCUUUCGCCUGUGACGAAGCGUGAGUGACGGUAAUGGGUAAAGAAGCACCGGCUAACUACGU